GCUUUAUAAAGAUUUCUGCUUGCGAUUACUGACAACUUCAUCAACGUCUCAAAAAUCUUCUCGCCCUCCAGGUAACUGCUACCAAAAGCUGUUCUGGAUAUCACUUCUGAAGUCAAUAAUCUAAAUUCCUGGAACACUUCGAUCUCCUUCCCUUCCUGGCCUUUCCACUUCUGUAGCAUUGUUUCAACGCUAGCAAUUACUGCUGGAGUCAUGUUCUGCCAAAACCAUCCUCCACUUUGUAAGUAUCACUACUGGAAGAUCACCAAAAUUUUAGUUUGCAAAUGUUCCAAGUACAAUAAAUAAUUCAAUCACCAAGCCUAUGACAGCAAAAACUUAUAGUACAGUGGUUUUCAUAGGAAGUUUUACUUUCAAGCUCUCCCCAUGAAAAGCAUAAUUGGCCAAUUUCCUUUGCCUUGCCCAUUUUUCUCUUACGGUCGUAGCAAGCCCGUCCCCCAGUAUCUUGCUAAGGAAAUAUGUAACUUUCCUCUUUGGAAAAGCUUUUUCACUAUUUUUCAGCACCUCUUUGAUGAGAUCUGGUUCUGUAAUUACCAGCAGAGCUCGAACUCCAUUCCAACUAAGAUAAAUUUUCCCUAAUCAAAGAACACAGAAAAAAAGAGAGUUAAAUCUCUUCCUGGAAGCAGAACUUAGAAAUCCUAGCGGAAAAUGACAUCAUGUCUCACCAUAUGUGUUGAUGCAGGAGUAAAUAUGAGGCAGCACUCUGGGAAAUAUAUCAUGUGUCAAGGCCAUAGGUUUGCUUGAUGCUUCCCUUAUACUUUCGACAACUGCUUUGUUGUUUCCAUGGAUAAACUCAUACGGAGGUCCUUUAAUUCCCUGUGACCUCAGUAUAUUCUGUAUCCGGUGGGGAAUCCACCAGUAGUUGUAGAAGGCCUUGAGCAGAGCUCGGAGGAAGUAAAGGAAGAAUGAACCUGCGACAAGGAUUAAAAGCUUUCCCAUGGAGUUCAUUUCUUUCUCUUAUCCACUACAUUUGAGGUGUUGUGGUUCUUUGCUUUUAUGCACGUUUAGGGCUGAAGGCAUUUUGCUUAUAUGUAAAAGCCGGCUUUUCAUUUGGUGCGAUUUAGAAUUGGUCAAAAGAACAAUCUAGUCCAUGUAAUCUCUAACUGUAUCCAAUUUAAUCCCGAUACUCAAAAUUAAAAUAAUUUAGUCCUUUAAUUUUAAAAAUUUAGUCCCUCUUUUUAAAAAAAUUUAAUUUUACCGUUAAAGAGGAUGAUGUCGAUGAUAACGUGACACAUUUUGAUGAUAUGGAGUUGAAAUGAUGGCGUGGCAUACCAUGUGGCAUCGACAUGAUGACGUGACAAUAUCACAUGGCAUCGACAUGAUAACAUGACAAUGUCACGUGAUACUAAUAUGAUGACGUGGUAAUGACAUGUUGACAUGUCAACUUUACGUGGUAGAUCAAAAAAAUUUUCAAAAUAAAAAAUUUUACCAUGUCAUAAAGAUUAAAUUGAAAAAAAAUAUAUAUAGUACAGAGACUAAAUUGAACAAAAUUAAGAUGAUGAAGGACUACAUUGAAAAAAAUAUUUGAAAAAUAUAAAUCUUUAAGUAGAUUAUUGAUAUACUUAUUAAUAAGCCAAAUAUUUUAGCGUAAAAGAUUUAUGGUGUUAAAAAAUAUAUAUAAAUAUUUUCUUACUUCAUUAUUUGAUUCUAGAAUGUAUACAUUAAUUUAUUUAUUUUUUACAAAAAUUAAGUUUGAAUUCUUCUUGUGUAAAAAAAAAUUUGAAAAAAUUUCAUACCUAAAGUCAAAUUUCGAUGAAUAACUUGCAUUAUGUUAUUACAAAAUAAUAUAAAAUGACUAAAUAAAAUUUUUUCUUCUAUUUAUAAUAGUAUAAAAAUUUGAAAUUUAUUUAACUUAGUUUUUAACGUGAAGUGAACUCAAAUUAGCAAAAUAUGUUGAUUUAGUAAAAAAAAUGAAGAACGAAGAUAUGGAGUUAGUGAUGAUUAUAAAAAUAAUUUCUUAUUCUAACUUACUUAAUUUGGACAUGACAAAUCUCUUAUUAUAACCAUAGAAUUUGAGCUCCACCUUUUUAAUUUUUUAUUUAUUUUUUAUUUCUUUGUUUUGUUUAAUAUUUCAAGUUAUAUUUUUUAAGUUGAAAUUUCCUAGAUUAAAGAUUAGGGGUGAGCAAAUGGGUGGAUUGAGUGGUUUAGUCCACCAUAUCUAAGGACCAAAUGGACCAAUCAUUUUUAAAAAAUCAAUCAAAAUCGACCAAAUAUAAUGGAAGGUUAAACCGACAAAAUAUAGAAUUGGUUUGGUUGGUUCGGUUUUGAACCAAUAGACCAAAAUUUUAUCACAUUUUUUUUUUACAAAUUAUAAUAUUAAAACUUAUAAACUUCAUUCAUAAUUAUAUAUAUAUGAAAUUAAUGAUAAAACUUAUAUGUUAUAAUAUUUUAUAUCAAAGUUUGUAUAAAUAAUAACAAUUAUGAACUAUAUGUUAUAAAAUCUAAGGUGAUAGCUAAUAAGCUUAUUAAGUGUAAUCGUAUAAAUAAAGUUUAUUAUAAGUUAUAGUAAUGCUUAUGUAUAAAUUAAAUAUAUAUAAUAUAUUACAUUAUUAUAUAUAUAAUUAAUGAUACAAAUUUUAUGUUAAAAUAUUUUAUAUAAUCAUAUAAAUAAAGUAUAUUAUAAGUUAUAGUAAUACUUAUGUAUAAAUUAAAUAUAUGUAUAUAUAAUAUAUGACUUUAUUAUAUAUAUGCAUAUACAAAAUUAAUGACAUAAUUUAUAUGUUAUAAUGUUUUAUAUGAAAGUUUGUAUAAAUAAUAACUAAUUAUAAACAAUAGGUUAUAAAAUCUAAGGUGAUAACUAAUAAAGUUAUUAAAUAUAAUCAUACAAAUAAAGUUUAUUAUAAAUUAUAGUAAUGCUUAUGUAUAUGUAUAUAUAAUAUAUCUAUACAGUUAUCUAUAUAGUUAUAUAUAUAUAUAUAUAUAUAUAUAUAUAUAUAUUCAUACCACUUUAUAUUACGACAUAUUACUAAGGUUUAAUAAUUAUAAUAUAUUAAUAUGUAGGAUAUUUACUAUUAUAUAUUAUAAUAUUAACAUAUAACUUAUAUUAUUUAAAAUAUAUAACUUGUAAUUUCAUAUUCAUAUAAAUUUAUAAAUAAAUAUAUAUGACUAAUAUUAAAUUACUAUGAUUAUGAUUUGUAUACGUACAUAUAAUACUCUAAUAUAUUUUAAAUAUAUUAUUAAUUAAGUUUACUAUCAAUUUUUUUAAUAUAUAAAAAAUAUAUAUGACUAUAUAUACAAAUAUAUAAAAAAUUAAUUUGGUUUUUUGUGUGGAUUGGUUUAAAAAUUUUAAAAUCGAGAACCGACCAAAUAACCAAUUGGACCAAAUAUUUUGGACCAAUUGAUUCAAUGGACUAAUUAGACUGAAUUAUUUUACUCAAAUCGCAUUUGGUUUGGAUAGGUAAUUGGUCUGGAUUGGUUUUGCUAACCUUUAUUAAAGAAUAUAUUUAUUGUUGAUAAAGUUCAAUAUAAUUGUAAAUAUUUGUACCAUUUUAUUUUAUUAAUAAAUUUUUUGUAGAUCCAAAUUAAUAAUUUAAAUAUAAAUUUAGCAUAAUUUGAUUGUGGUAUUUGAACUUAAAUAAAAUUGUUUUAUAAGAAAUUUUAAAUAAAUUUAAAUAAAAGGUACAUUAGGUAAGAGUUGAAUAAUUUCAUAAAAAAUGGGUAUUUAUAAAUUGUAAAAGUUGUAACUAAAUCAAUGUAUUUUGUUAAUUUGAGUUUAGCUUAAGUUAAAAACUAAGUUAAAUAAAUUUCAAAUUUUUAUACUAUUAUAACUAGAAAAAAAAAGAAUUUAUUUAGUUAUUUUAUAUUAUUUUAUUAUAAUAUAAUGUAAGUUAUUCAUCUAAAUUUGACUUUAGGUAUGAAAUUAUUUUGAAAUUUUUUUUUAGAAGGAGAAUUCUAACUUAAUUUUUGUAAAAAAUAUAAAUUAAUAUAAAUAUUCUAUAAUCAAAUAAUCAAGAAAGAAAAUAUUUAUAUAUACUUUUUAAUACCAUAAAUCUGUUACACUUAAAUAUUUAGCUUAUUAAUAAAUAUAUCAAUAAUCUACUUAGAUAUUUGUAUUGUUUAAAUAUUUUUUUUCAAUUUAGUCCCUCAACAUCUUAAUUUGUUCAAUUUAAUACCUAUACUAUAUAUUUUUGUUCAAUUUAAUCCCUAUAACGUGGCAAGAUUUUUAUUUUAAAAUUUUUUUUGAUCUGUCACGUGGCACAAGCAUGCUAACAUAUCAAUGCCAUGUCAUCAUAUUAGUGCCACGAGGCAUUGCCACAUCAUUACGUCGGCGCCACGUGGUAUUCCACAUCAUCAUCUCAAUGCAUCAGCACUAAAAUGUGCCGAAAUGUGCCAUAUUAGUGCUGAUGUCAUCUUUUUUAAUGACAAAAUUAGAUACCGUUAGGGAGAGAGAUUAAAUUAAAGAAAUUUUCAAAAUUAAAGAACUAAAUUGCUUCGAUUUUAAGUAUAGAAAUCAAAUUGAACAAAAUUGAAAAGUACAAGAAUUGAAUAGGUCUUUUGACUAUUUGAAAUUAUUGCCUUCAAAAAAUACACCCACUUUUUAAGUAAAGGGCUUAACAAUUCAACUACAAAUAUUCAUGGCAUGCUAUACAUAAUGCCUAAUGCCUCACUCUUAUGACUCUUAUUGAAUAAUUGUGACGCAAUAAUAGUAGGUGAUGUACUCUCUUAUCUCGCAAGUCAUGUUAUGCCAAUCACUAAACUGCAGAUUAUAUUGGAUUCAACUUAGCAACAAUUUUGGCAUUUAUAUGAUCAAUGAAAUAAAUAAAGAUUAAUUAUAAUUAACAAUUAGGGUUCUUCAUCCUAUGAACAGGAAAAAAAAGGUGUAAUAAUCACUUCAUAUCAUGCAUUAAUAUGAACAAUAAUGAACUCAACUUGAUAAAAUUUGGUUUUAAUAGAUGUUAAGCUUUGAUUUAGAGUUCACUGGGUAAUAGGUGGUAUAUACAUUAGGACUUUCUGUUUUUUUUUCUUUUUUUUGGGGGGGGACACCUUGUAUUAAUUCAUUCAAAUUUUUUUUGAAAGGUAUUAAGUCAUUCAAUUUUAACUACUCAUUGUAAGAAUUCAAAAGGGAUAAGGACCUCCAAGUGGGGCUUUUUACUUUAGUCAAAGACUGCUGCAAAACGUGAUAAGAAUUUUACAUGUUCAAGACUAUUUUCCAUAGGUUUAUUUUAGUCAAAGACUCUUGCACAUCACGUUAUGUAACAUUUCAAAGAAAUAAAUGGUGAGAGUCAACAAGAUUGUGUUAUAUAUAGUCCUCCUGUCCCAUUUUAUUUUUUCUUAUUUGAUUUUCAUGAAAUUUUAAAAAAAUUAAUUUUGAUGUAUUUUAUAUUAAAAUUUCAAAUUGUAUUAUACACGUUAUGUUCCAUGGAUUUUAAUCUCAAAAAAUUUUAAAAAAAUUAUGAAAAAUAAAUUGAAAAUGUAUCUUGUAGUACGUGUAUAACUUUGUCCUAUAAUACAAGCUGUAGUAGAUAUAUAGCCAAAAUCAUUAUCAGUACUCAAUUAUAAAAUCAAUUAAAUUGUCAUAAUCACCCCUUUGCACGGGAAAAGAAAAACGCAAGGAAAGAAGAAAAAAAGUUGCAAUAACCCUGGGAAAAUGUCCUUCAUCAGAUAUAUUAUAUACUUUGCAUUAACAUAAUCUUCUAGUCAUCAUCAUCAAUCAACAUCUGGCUUUUGUUUAUUUUUGGACUGUUUGCAGCUUGCUCUUAUCUUUUCUCACGGUCGGUGGAGCUGGCAAAGCAGACAUUGGCCAGCUACAAUAUGUUAUAUUAGAAGCUUCAGUAUUACUAGGCACUAGACAGUACAUCCUUAUUUCUCACGUCUUACAACUGAUUGGAAGGAUAAAAAACUAAAACCCACCUAAUUUCUCUUGUUUUAUAUUAAAAUGAUUGAUCCUUGUUAAAAAUCAAUCUGAAUUAUCUUUUCUUGUUUUACUCGUUGACCAGAGAUACGCUUACAAAUCAAGUGUGCCUAAUCCUAGAUUUUACUGAAGGGAAGCAAAACAGCAACAAAUGACAUUGAUUAAUGUUAAAUGGCCUAUCUAUAUCUCUUUGUCCAAAUACGCAGCUGCUGCACACUGGCUUCGGCCUUGAUUUGUAAUGAUUGCCUGGACACCUGAGGAAAUUUCAAGGCCUUUGUGCUCUCUAGUUCUUAAAAAAAUUGACCUAGAACGUCCAUAUUCAGACAUUGCAGAAACUUUUGUGCUUGGAAGUUAAUUAUACUCAGGAGAGAUUGAACUGAUAUCAAUAAUAUAUUGUCUGGAUUUAUGUGUUAAAUGCUGCUGAUGUUUUCGGUCAGGAGAGAGCUAGAGCAUUUUCAAAGGGGAGGUCAAACAGAAAGAGAUAUUAAAUAGUUAAAGAGAAUUUUAUAUAUAAUUCAAUUAUUACUUAUCUAAAAAAUUAAAUAAAAUUUAGAAAAUAUUGAACAUAUAAAAAAAUGCAUAUUAGCAGUAAUAGUAGUGUCAUUUAUAUAUAUGACUGAAUGAAACUAUAAAAAAAAUUCUCUUUUACUCUUUAUGCACAAGAGUGGAAAAGAAAAUAAUUUUUCAAACUUAAAUGAAUUGCCUCUUAACUUUGUGUGUCUUAACUCUCAUUUUAUUUUCUAUUUACUUCUUAAAUUGCUAAUUAACAUAUUAAGUUAUUAGAUUAAACUAUUAAAAUAUAAUAUGUUUGUCGUAACGUGCGGGUCCGAGAACCCGUCCGCCAGACGCUGGCGAAAAUAAAUCGGUUUAGGAGUCGCCACCAAUAUUUUUUUUUAUCUAGAUGUGAUUGGUCACCUAUUAACCAGAUUCUAAUCGACAAAGUCCUAAAUUAAUUUUAGGUCCGUCGAAAGAACGAGAACUGAUCUACGUUUUUUAGAGAUAGGUUCGGGAGUGCGGUUACGCACGGAGAAUGGUUAGCACCUCCGUGGCACCCGUUCCACGAACGGUACCAUUUAAUCUUAAGUUAUCCUAUUAUAGCCUACUUUUGAUUUAUUCCCUACUUAUUAACUAAAUUUUUAUUAAACUGACUGCCUGAAUCUUUUAUUUGGUUUUACAUAUGCACGUGAUGCAAGCGUAAAAUGAUGUCAUGACUCGUUUAUUUUAAAUAAUGGGAUCAGUAAUCUUUUAUUGAAAAAUUAUUUGAAGACCAUCCCAACGCUUUGGUGAAGUCUUGAAAUUCUCCUCACCUAGAGAUAUCCUGGGAAGAACUCAUCUUUACAAGCUCUUCGGGGAAAUCCCAUCAUCGGAAUUUUCGCACCAUUUGCAAGAUAAAUGUGGCGUGCUAUGACAGGAUAAAGUGAUGAUGUCUACAUGCACGCGUUUAUUGACUUAAGCGGUUCAUAAUUCAUCCAAUUAUGUGUUUAAUAAUUUAUCACCUUAUUUAUAUAUUUAUUUUGUCAUUUUUUUUCAUGGAUUAUUUAUUUAUUUUAUUAUUAUUAUUAUUUUUUGUUUUUAUUUUCUAUUUAGAUCCAUAUCUUUUAAUUAACAUUGUUGAUUAACAUUUAACUUGAUUAUAUAACUUAUCAAAUAAACAAUUAAUUAAUUUUUUCAAACGAUUAAAUUAACUUUAUUUAGUAAUAUUUAUUUAAGCUAAUUAACUAAUUUAAGUUUGGAUGCAACAUUAUGUAAAUUUAUUUUUUUUUUAACAAUGACUAUUUGACUUAAUAGGUAUUGGAGUUUAGAGUUCGGAUUUAUCCCGACGCUUCAGUGAAAAUCCGUCUCAAACUUCGCACAAAAAAAAAAUCCACUUAAAAAAAGCAACUCUUUGCCUUUCUUAGGUGGAGUUUCUCAAACAAUUAUCUUAUUUUUCUUAUAAUUUUUAUAUUCGUAUCAUGUUACUGUUUUUUUGUUUUUUUUAUUUAUAUAUAUAUAUAUAUAUAUAUAUAUUAUAUUUACAAGUAUCUAAAUAUGAAUAUUUCUUUCUUUUUUUUUAUUCCUCUCAUUUGUUUAUUAUCAUUACUAUUUUUAACAUAAACUAAACCUAUGAUUAGUUUUCUUAGUAUUUAUUUUAUGUAUAUAUGUAUAUAUGUUCUUCUAAACUAUGUAUCUUUACUAUUUUUUUUAUUAUGACUAUCAUUGUUUUUUUAUUUUUUUGUUAUUUCUAUUCUUAUUCAUUUAUUGAUUUUUUUAGACCAAACCUAAGAACUCUCAUAAAUAUGAAUAUUGAUCCCAAUAUAUAUAUAUAUACAUAUUGUUUUUUUAUUUUUUUGUUAUUUCUAUUCUUAUUCAUUUAUUGAUUUUUUAGACCAAACCUAAGAACUCUCAUAAAUAUGAAUAUUGAUCCCAAUAUAUAUAUAUAUACUAUUACAACCAUUAUCAUCUCUUUUUAUUAUUUUUUUUGUUUGAAUAUUUGUUUUUAUUUAUUUUUUUAUCAAAUAUUUACUCAUAUUUUCAUUUACCACUUUAUAUUUUAUUGUUAUUUUUCUACUUUAAAAUAUCAUAUAAUCUCUACAUAAUAUCUUUUUUAUCUUAAUUAAAUUAUUCUUAUGCUCAUAAUAAUAUGUUUUAAACAUAAACAAUUGAGUCACCACAAUAAAUAAAAAAAAUAUUAUAGUAAAAAAGCAUGCAAGUUAGAUCUUACCUUAUGUAGAUUUAGAUUAGCUCAAAAAGAAUAGAAUUAUGUGGGCCAAGGCAAGCCACGUACAACAACUUGCUCUCCAAAAAAUGCCGUGAAGAGUCCCUUCUUGUUACAAAUCUCUACCUCAUUUCUCCUUUUUUUUUUUUCUUUCUUUCUCUCCCUUAUUUCCUUCUUCCUUUCCUUUCUCUCUCCCCGUCGACUUCUUCUUUCUUUUUCUUUUUUUUUCUUUUUUUUUUCUUCUCUUCCUCUCCUUUCCUUUCUCUCUCCCCGCUGGCUUCUUCUUUCUUUUUCCUCUUUCUUUCUCCUUCUCUUUCUCUCUUUUCUCCCUGCCGGCGUCACACCCUUCUCCUCUUCUCUCUUCCUCUUCUCUCUAUCGUCUUCUUCCUUUUUUUUUUUGCUCUAUUUUUUGUGUUUGAUUGUGGUUCUUCGGCUGCUAGAGACUUUUUGGUUUUUUGAAAACGUUUUUUUAUAUUGUUUUUUGGCUUUUUUUGGUUCUUCCUCUCUGAUUUUUUUUUAUUUUCCCACUUCCCCCGUUUUGCAGGUUGUCCAUCUUUUGAGGUCAGGUUGUCCAAAAAUUUGGACAACUCGGUAAUGGGGUUCUACACCAAAAAGUUGAUAGUCAAAACCCCCAUCAUUUAAGGUGGUUCCUUCUCUUUUUCUUUUUUAAUUAUUUUAUUUUAUACUUUAUUUUAUUAUAAUUUUUUAUUUUUUUGAGGUAUCUACUUAUGAUAGAUUAUUAGAUUGGACGGUUAAGAUAUAAUAUGUUAUGAGAAGCUUAGAUUUAUAUUAAAAUUUAAUAGAUUUGAAUUAGUAGAUUCACUUUUAUUUUUUUGUAAAUUUGAUAGGCUUAACAUAUUAGUUUAAAAUUUAUUUAUUGGGUUUAACUAGCAAUAUGGUAACCAUAAUAACUCUAAUUUUGCCAAACAGUAUGAAAAAUAAAACUAAUUAUUAAAUUAAAAAUUAUUUUGAGAGCUAUUAAAAAUAAAUAUAAUAAAUAAAUAUGUAUUGAAAAAAUAUAAUUAUUUCAUUCUAUCAAUUUGUAUGUAUAAUCUUAUUACUUAAAAUUUGUAACAUACGUACUAAAAUGUAUUGGUUAUUUUGAAUAAAAAAUAAUAUAUUGAUGAAAUUUUAAGUCACAAUACAAUACUGCAACGUAUAUUUAAAAAUUAUAUAAUAAUUUAUUUAUUUUUAAAAAUUAAAAUCAUAAAAAAUAAUAUCUAGAUAAUAGAAAAAAAAACAUGAAAAGUAGAAAAUAAAAUCCAUAUAUAAUAUAAUAAAAGAAAAAAAAUAUGAUUGUUGGUACGUUAAAAUUUGUGAAAGAAAAUUUAUAAAGAUUUAAAAUAUAUGAGAAGAACUAGGUUUCCCAGGUGAACGCUGCAUCAGGAGCAGGGAUAUCAUUCCGCAGUAGGGCAGUACCAGUAUACGUUUGUGAUUUAAGCUUUGAACCACUUUAAACUGAAAGGCUCUGACAGCAUAUCAAGAACCACCCGUUUUGGAUUGAGAAAUAAGGAUCCAAAAAUAGUUACCAUACAUUUAACAACUAUUAUCACAUCGCUGAUAAUUAAAUGCUAUAGUACAUUGAAUACCGUUACUGAAGACUAUUUAACAUUUUACCAUCUUGGACACUAAUAGCUGCACACUCCAGAAUAAGCUAUACUAACCUAGAAGCAGCUAGUCUUAUUAAGAACUUUAGGCACCACUCUGUAGUGAAUGAAGCAUUACUUGAAUUCCAUGUUGUGGCUGAAGCUUAAGUAUAGUAAAUGGAGAGUGAACAUAGGCUGGGGAGAGAGUAAAGGUGUAACGUUGUAGAAUCAUUGAGAGAGCAGUCUUUGUUUCGGUGGUUGCAAAGCUCAUACCCACGCAAGAUCGAGGUCCCAAUGAAAAAGGAAUGAAUGCAGCCGCAUUGUAUUUGGUAGCUUUGGCAGUCCCUUCUGCGAGCUUAUCUGGUUUGAAAAGAUUAAAUAGAUUGAUUAUAUUAUCAAUUGAAAAAAAAAUAUUAGAAAAAUUUGAUUAUAAAAAUUUAAUUAAAAAUUUUGCAUAUCAAAAAGUUAGAAGAAUAAAAUUUUAAUAAUUUUUUUUAAUUUCAAUAAAAAAACCUCAUUUGAUUAUUUUGCUUUAAAUUUUUGAACUUAUUGAGCCGCCUUUGGCCAUAUCAUUUUCAUAAUUCGUCAAGUUACUCUAUCAAGAUACAUUCCCAAUCCCCUAUGCUUUACAUCAUUUCUUUCAACCCAAAGAAACUAAGAAAUUACAUAUUAAAUGUAGCUGGUUUUGUCCAUACUGGUUAUCAGCGGAGUAAAGGGUUUUAAGGAAAAAUACCAAUUUAUCAUUAUAAGGUGAUUCAAUACUGAAUUGUGUCAGCUCAUGGAAUAUGACGGAAAAUAAGGCUAUGGCUUUUGUCAGCUCAUGAAGGAGUAAUAGCUACAUUGGCUGUAUCACCUGUGAAAAGGGCUGGUUUCUUCUGCCAGGCAUGAUCACAAGUUUGUCAAAUUGUGGAAGUGAUACGAUUGCUAGCAGAAUUCCCAAGUUUUAAUCCACAACAAUUGUUGGUUUGUAGCUGUUCAGCUUGCUUAAAGGUGUCCAUUUUGUGGUUUGUCCCAAUGCUCAAAGAUUUUUAUUCACCAUGCCAUGAGGUUAUUUGGUUCAUGAUCUUCACAAAAUGACUACAGGAAUUUAGAAGCUGAGAAGCCUUAGAUUGUUUACUAGGAGCGGAGCUGGGAUAUACCAGGGUUUAGUACUCAAAAGAAGAUAAUCUUGUUUCUUUGUUGCCAAUACAUGAAACCCCUAAUACUUGUAUCAUCAGAAAUGGCCGGUAAAUACAGUUAAAUGGAAGAAAAUAAUCAGAAACUGGUUAUCAUUAGUUUGUAAGAUUUCUUAAAAAAAACUGUACAAAUUUCCAGAAAUCAAAAGAGCAAAAUGAUGAACAAAAACAGAGUUGAGAGAAGAAACAAGUCUGUAUAUGGAUCAAAAUUGAUGAAAUAACGGCUGCUCAGAUGAAAGAGAAAGAAGGCCGUUGGACUACACAAACAAAGAGAGAACGAAAACGACGCGAUUGAAGGAAAGAAACAAACAUUGAACAAACGACACAACAAGUCGUCGUAUGCUCCUGUAAACAGAACAGACAAGAAACGACAGCCAAGGACACCGUUUAAGCACCCCCAACAAGCAAAUCAUAAAACGACACAGGUGACCCCCGUUUCACAAACUCAAAUCGAUGAAGGCAUAUGCGGCACCACUUUGCACAGCCCUGAACCCUUCUUCAACUUAUUUAAAUUCCAACUGCUUCCCGCCAUUAGUUAUUUAUAAUUAGUUAUUAUUUAUAAGUUUUUGCCAGUUCUGAUCAGGCGGGCUGGUCAAAAUUGUAAAGUAGUUGUAAAUACUUGCAAAGAUACCAUUGUUAGAGGUCUGGUUAUAUGUCAUGGCGCAUAUUUGAGAAUGGAGUUCAUGCUGAUUAAUCGUGUGCAAACUGUGAUGUCCACAUUUAUUGGAUUUUGAGAGGGCUAUGAACUCGACUGAAUGGCUUCUGUGUUCAGUAUAUAAACUGAAACAGGGGACUGUACUCCCCAACAAACUUGCUGGAAAUAAUUUUAUAGUUGCUUAACAGGGGAGAUCACCGUGAAAGCCUGUGCUGUUUAUACCAUUUAGUUUAGUUUUAGUAUGUGGUAAUCUUGAUGCUCCUUCUGCCUAAUGAGCAAGCCAGAGCUGGUUCCCGGGUUCACCUAGUCCUGUACUGUGUAUAAAGAGAAUUUUGAAUAUAAAUCAAUAGUAUGCCAUAAUUUAGUAUGAUUUCUUACCAUUUUAUUUAAUUUUUUCAGGGUAAAUUUAUAACUAAUGUCAAUCUUUACCAAUAAUGGAGCCAAGGUUUAUGCUCAAUCUGGGUAAAGUUAUUUCUCCUUCUGCAAGUCUCUCUGGUUUGAAAACAUGAACAUCUUCAACCAUAUCUCAGGGUCAUGGUGAAGUGCUGGAGUUGAAAUGAACAAUUCAGUAUUUUUCUUCUUGGAGAAUUUUGUUACAGAAAAAAAGAUGCCUGGACAAUCAUACGGAUCUCUAAUCAAGAUCUACAACAAUAUCAGAAUAUAAGAGGAAAUAGUACUCAGAGGAGCACCAUCUUCAUACUUGAUUGCUUAAACAUUUUGUUCCAAUAUCAUCAUUUACUAUUACAUGGAUAGAAACAAGGACAAAUUAAUCAACAUCACUGACUGGGGUGAGUUACUGGCUGCGGCCUCUGUAAGCAACUGAUCUACAAGGCAUUAUUCCAUUGACAACUCUAGGCUUCAUUCUACAGAGAAUGAAGUAUUACCUGAAUUCCAUGUUGUGGCUGAAGCAAAGGAAGGUAAUAUGGUGAGUGGCUGUAGGCUGGGCAAAGGGAAAUGGUGUAUCGCUGUAGAAUCAUGGAAAGAGCAAUCUUUGUUUCUGUAAUUGCAAAGCUCAUACCGACACAAGAUCGAGGUCCCAAUCCAAAGGGAACAUAUGCAGCUGCAUUAUGUUUGGUGGCAUUCGCGAUCCCUUCUGCGAAUCUCUCAGGUUUGAAUAGAUUGACAUCAUCUCCCCAUAACUGAGGGUCAUGGUGAAGUGCCAUGAUUGGGACAACCAAAUGUAAAUCAGCUGGCAGGAUGAGCUUUCCCAAUUGAACUUCUCGUCCAACUCUCCUUACGAUGCGAUUUAAAGGAGGAUACAACCGUAAAGUUUCAUUGAUGAUCAUGGUCAUCUGUUUACAGAUUAGAAAUCAAAGGUAUCAAAUUAUAAAUUCCCAGUUUAAUACCCUGAAUGCUCAUAACUAGUGUAUGCUAUUAAAGUGGUUAGAGCUUGAAAUUUGCUUACAGUUUUUAGUUUGGCAAUCCCUUCAGGAUGUGGAUCUUGAUUACCAAAUUCCUCAAUCAUUUCUCUUCUUGCUUUCUCUUGCCAAUCUGUAUGGAUUGCCAAAAGCAGGACUGUCCAUGCGAGCAAGGAAUUAGUUGUUUCUUGUCCAGUAAAGUAGAAUGUUUUACACUCAUCAACCAAAUCUUCUACGAAGAGCCUGUUUUUCUCGUCCAAGUCAUGAUGGGCAUUUAGAAGUAAUCCCAGAAAAUCACUGCCAAAGCUCUCAGCUUCUCCAGCCACUACUUUCUCUUCUCUUUUUUUAACAAUCUUCAGCACAGAAUCAUGUAUUUCUUUCGCAAGUUUCUCCGAUUCAAUUUCAUCAGCAUGUUUCCAGACGUAGCUACAAAAGCAAACCAAAGUCUGCCUUAUAUAUGGAAAAAUCUAGAAUAGAAAAAAAAAAUCCUCUCAGACCUACAGCUUUAUGCAUAGAAUAGAGCCUUCUGUUUAUUAUUCUCCAGAGUAAAGUUUAGAGGAACUUACCUGAUGCCAGGUAUCCUGGCUUUAUAAAGAUUUCUGAUCGCGAUUUCUGACAACUUCAUCAACGUCUCAAAAAUCUUCUCGCCCUCCAGGUAACUGCUACCAAAAGCUGUUCUGGAUAUCACUUCUGAAGUCAAUAAUCUAAAUUCCUGGAACACUUCGAUCUCCUUCCCUUCCCGGCCUUUCCACUUCUGUAGCAUUGUUUCAACGCUAGCAAUUACUGCUGGAGUCAUGUUCUGCCAAAACCAUCCUCCACUUUGUAAGCAUCACUAUAGGAAGAUCACCAAAAUUUUAGUUUGCAAAUGUUCAAGUACAAUCAAUAAUUCAAUCACCAAGCCUAUGACAGCAAAAACUUAUAGGACAGUGGUUUUCA
rnacentral:lncRNA from 1 species